rnacentral:rRNA from 1 species
GACGAACGCUGGCGGCGUGCCUAAUACAUGCAAGUAGAACGCUGAAGAGAGGAGCUUGCUCUUCUUGGAUGAGUUGCGAACGGGUGAGUAACGCGUAGGUAACCUGCCUUGUAGCGGGGGAUAACUAUUGGAAACGAUGGCUAAUACCGCAUAACAAUGGAUGACACAUGUCAUUUAUUUGAAAGGGGCAAUUGCUCCACUACAAGAUGGACCUGCGUUGUAUUAGCUAGUAGGUGAGGUAAUGGCUCACCUAGGCGACGAUACAUAGCCGACCUGAGAGGGUGAUCGGCCACACUGGGACUGAGACACGGCCCAGACUCCUACGGGAGGCAGCAGUAGGGAAUCUUCGGCAAUGGGGGCAACCCUGACCGAGCAACGCCGCGUGAGCGAAGAAGGUUUUCGGAUCGUAAAGCUCUGUUGUAAGUCAAGAACGGGUGUGAGAGUGGAAAGUUCACACUGUGACGGUAGCUUACCAGAAAGGGACGGCUAACUACGUG